rnacentral:rRNA from 1 species
GACAGAGGUCUCGAGCGUUAGGCGGAAUCACUGGGCUUAAAGCGUGUGUAGGUGGAUGUCUAAGUACCUUGUGAAAUCCCACGGCUUAACCGUGGAAUUGCUUGGUAUACUGGAUGUCUUGAGCCAACUAGGGGCAACCGGAACAAAUGGUGGAGCGGUGAAAUGCGUAGAUAUCGUAAGGAAGACCAGUGGCGAAGGCGGGUCUCUGGACAGUUCCUGACGCUGAGGCACGAAGGCCAGGGGAGCAAACGGG